UACGGAGGGUCCAAGCGUUAUCCGGAUUUAUUGGGUUCAAAGGGUGCGCAGGCGGUUCGUUAAGUUAGAGGUGAAAUCCCGUGGCUCAACCACGGAACUGCCUCUGAUACUGGCGGGCUAGAGAGAGGUUGCUGUGGGCGGAAUGUGUGGUGUAGCGGUGAAAUGCUUAGAGAUCACACAGAACACCGAUUGCGAAGGCAGCUCACAAAGCCUCAUCUGACGCUCAUGCACGAAAGCGUGGGGAGCAAACAGGA
rnacentral:rRNA from 1 species